GAGUACAUGAUAACCGGUUAGGAUUAUUUUUGGCGAUGGAAGACUACCCUUUUUGAAGAUCGUUGGGUAAACAAAGUAGUUCCGAUUCAUUUGAAUUUGAAUGAUCGUUUCAUUUUUUUGAUUAAUUAAUCGUUUGAAGUCAGUUAACAAGGGAUUAUUUUAUUUGGAAUUUAAGGGAGGUAUUAGCCACCAACCUGGCGAGGUUGCUACCCCUUGUCCGGACGAAAAAAAGGGGUAGUCGGACUCAUUUUACGGGCCCUGAAUCCAAAGAAUACUUGAAAAAGUGCUUUUGCUGUUGCUUUUAAGUAAGUGCACGUCUUAAGAAUACAUAUACCUAUGUAGUAAUAGCCAAGUAAACUUAAGUAAAAAAAUUUGCAUUGCCUGCCACGGAAAAUCCGGAACAAAUGUUACCUACCCGGUAGCUCACUGCUGGUGGACGAUGGUCGAGGGCUGCUACAACCACUGCUGUAGGGCGCCACAAGUUUGUAAGGGAAAUUCCUCUCAAACUUGAAAGAGGAUACACAAAACAAGAUAGGAAAAUUAUGAGAUUUAUUAGGCACACAAAACGAAGGAAAUAAAAUUAAAUAACUAAAGGUAUGAUUUUGUUUUCAAAUAAUAAUUGGGUGCUAUGGGAAUUAUGCUUAUUACGAAUAAUAACCGACGGCAACAAGACCAGAAUUACUGGCUUUUAUACGUAUAAACCAGCGGGUGAAUGACUUGUGAAAAUAAAGGGAGGUUUAAGCAGGCUGCCGUUGGAAGAUCUUCCUUACUUGGACCUUGCCAGGUAAGACGCAAUAUAGUAGUUAAGGUGAAAGCAUAGGUCUUGUUUUUGUCUCACAAAUAUUGUAAAUAAGGUAGUUGCAAUACACCCCCCCCACACAAAUUAAUUUGAACUAACAAGUUCUGUUAAAUAUUGACUACUGUCAAAUCUCAAUACAAAAUACAAAUUAAAUUAUUAUGUGCCACUUGGCUUUUGCAUUAUCAAUACCAAAAUAAUUGAGGGUUAAGGAGGUAAGACAAGAUGGAGGAUUAUGGGAAGGACUAGGAUGGCCGCCGGUGGAAGUAAAGCUGGUCCUCAGGUGGUAUCGGCCCAGAAUGGAACAAUCGACUUAAUAUCACUAGGCCUGGAUGGACGUUGGAUUGCCCUGAAGUUCACGGUGGAGGGAACGAUUGACGACACGGGAAAUCAAGA